UUAAGCGACUAAGCGUACACGGUGGAUGCCCUGGCAGUCAGAGGCGAUGAAGGACGUGCUAAUCUGCGAUAAGCGUCGGUAAGGUGAUAUGAACCGUUAUAACCGGCGAUUUCCGAAUGGGGAAACCCAGUGUGUUUCGACACACUAUCAUUAACUGAAUCCAUAGGUUAAUGAGGCGAACCGGGGGAACUGAAACAUCUAAGUACCCCGAGGAAAAGAAAUCAACCGAGAUUCCCCCAGUAGCGGCGAGCGAACGGGGAGCAGCCCAGAGCCUGAAUCAGUGUGUGUGUUAGUGGAAGCGUCUGGAAAGGCGCGCGAUACAGGGUGACAGCCCCGUACACAAAAAUGCACAUGCUGUGAGCUCGAUGAGUAGGGCGGGACACGUGGUAUCCUGUCUGAAUAUGGGGGGACCAUCCUCCAAGGCUAAAUACUCCUGACUGACCGAUAGUGAACCAGUACCGUGAGGGAAAGGCGAAAAGAACCCCGGCGAGGGGAGUGAAAAAGAACCUGAAACCGUGUACGUACAAGCAGUGGGAGCACGCUUAGGCGUGUGACUGCGUACCUUUUGUAUAAUGGGUCAGCGACUUAUAUUCUGUAGCAAGGUUAACCGAAUAGGGGAGCCGAAGGGAAACCGAGUCUUAACUGGGCGUUAAGUUGCAGGGUAUAGACCCGAAACCCGGUGAUCUAGCCAUGGGCAGGUUGAAGGUUGGGUAACACUAACUGGAGGACCGAACCGACUAAUGUUGAAAAAUUAGCGGAUGACUUGUGGCUGGGGGUGAAAGGCCAAUCAAACCGGGAGAUAGCUGGUUCUCCCCGAAAGCUAUUUAGGUAGCGCCUCGUGAAUUCAUCUCCGGGGGUAGAGCACUGUUUCGGCAAGGGGGUCAUCCCGACUUACCAACCCGAUGCAAACUGCGAAUACCGGAGAAUGUUAUCACGGGAGACACACGGCGGGUGCUAACGUCCGUCGUGAAGAGGGAAACAACCCAGACCGCCAGCUAAGGUCCCAAAGUCAUGGUUAAGUGGGAAACGAUGUGGGAAGGCCCAGACAGCCAGGAUGUUGGCUUAGAAGCAGCCAUCAUUUAAAGAAAGCGUAAUAGCUCACUGGUCGAGUCGGCCUGCGCGGAAGAUGUAACGGGGCUAAACCAUGCACCGAAGCUGCGGCAGCGACGCUGAUGCGUUGUUGGGUAGGGGAGCGUUCUGUAAGCCUGCGAAGGUGUGCUGUGAGGCAUGCUGGAGGUAUCAGAAGUGCGAAUGCUGACAUAAGUAACGAUAAAGCGGGUGAAAAGCCCGCUCGCCGGAAGACCAAGGGUUCCUGUCCAACGUUAAUCGGGGCAGGGUGAGUCGACCCCUAAGGCGAGGCCGAAAGGCGUAGUCGAUGGGAAACAGGUUAAUAUUCCUGUACUUGGUGUUACUGCGAAGGGGGGACGGAGAAGGCUAUGUUGGCCGGGCGACGGUUGUCCCGGUUUAAGCGUGUAGGCUGGUUUUCCAGGCAAAUCCGGAAAAUCAAGGCUGAGGCGUGAUGACGAGGCACUACGGUGCUGAAGCAACAAAUGCCCUGCUUCCAGGAAAAGCCUCUAAGCAUCAGGUAACAUCAAAUCGUACCCCAAACCGACACAGGUGGUCAGGUAGAGAAUACCAAGGCGCUUGAGAGAACUCGGGUGAAGGAACUAGGCAAAAUGGUGCCGUAACUUCGGGAGAAGGCACGCUGAUAUGUAGGUGAAGUCCCUCGCGGAUGGAGCUGAAAUCAGUCGAAGAUACCAGCUGGCUGCAACUGUUUAUUAAAAACACAGCACUGUGCAAACACGAAAGUGGACGUAUACGGUGUGACGCCUGCCCGGUGCCGGAAGGUUAAUUGAUGGGGUUAGCGCAAGCGAAGCUCUUGAUCGAAGCCCCGGUAAACGGCGGCCGUAACUAUAACGGUCCUAAGGUAGCGAAAUUCCUUGUCGGGUAAGUUCCGACCUGCACGAAUGGCGUAAUGAUGGCCAGGCUGUCUCCACCCGAGACUCAGUGAAAUUGAACUCGCUGUGAAGAUGCAGUGUACCCGCGGCAAGACGGAAAGACCCCGUGAACCUUUACUAUAGCUUGACACUGAACAUUGAGCCUUGAUGUGUAGGAUAGGUGGGAGGCUUUGAAGUGUGGACGCCAGUCUGCAUGGAGCCGACCUUGAAAUACCACCCUUUAAUGUUUGAUGUUCUAACGUUGACCCGUAAUCCGGGUUGCGGACAGUGUCUGGUGGGUAGUUUGACUGGGGCGGUCUCCUCCUAAAGAGUAACGGAGGAGCACGAAGGUUGGCUAAUCCUGGUCGGACAUCAGGAGGUUAGUGCAAUGGCAUAAGCCAGCUUGACUGCGAGCGUGACGGCGCGAGCAGGUGCGAAAGCAGGUCAUAGUGAUCCGGUGGUUCUGAAUGGAAGGGCCAUCGCUCAACGGAUAAAAGGUACUCCGGGGAUAACAGGCUGAUACCGCCCAAGAGUUCAUAUCGACGGCGGUGUUUGGCACCUCGAUGUCGGCUCAUCACAUCCUGGGGCUGAAGUAGGUCCCAAGGGUAUGGCUGUUCGCCAUUUAAAGUGGUACGCGAGCUGGGUUUAGAACGUCGUGAGACAGUUCGGUCCCUAUCUGCCGUGGGCGCUGGAGAACUGAGGGGGGCUGCUCCUAGUACGAGAGGACCGGAGUGGACGCAUCACUGGUGUUCGGGUUGUCAUGCCAAUGGCACUGCCCGGUAGCUAAAUGCGGAAGAGAUAAGUGCUGAAAGCAUCUAAGCACGAAACUUGCCCCGAGAUGAGUUCUCCCUGACCCUUUAAGGGUCCUGAAGGAACGUUGAAGACGACGACGUUGAUAGGCCGGGUGUGUAAGCGCAGCGAUGCGUUGAGCUAACCGGUACUAAUGAACCGUGAGGCUUAACCUU
rnacentral:rRNA from 1 species